rnacentral:rRNA from 1 species
CAACCUGCCUUUCAGAGGGGGACAACAGUUGGAAACGACUGCUAAUACCGCAUAAAAUAACGGAACCGCAUGAUUCUGUUAUCAAAGGAGAAAUCCGCUGAAAGAUGGGCUCGCGUCUGAUUAGAUAGUUGGUGAGGUAACGGCCCACCAAGUCGACGAUCAGUAGCCGGACUGAGAGGUUGAACGGCCACAUUGGGACUGAGACACGGCCCAGACUCCUACGGGAGGCAGCAGUGGGGGAUAUUGGACAAUGGGGGAAACCCUGAUCCAGCGAUGCCGCGUGAGGGAAGAAGGUUUUCGGAUUGUAAACCUCUGUGGACAGGGACGAUAAUGACGGUACCUGUCAAGAAAGCCACGGCUAACUACGUGCCAGCAGCCGCGGUAAUACGUAGGUGGCGAGCGUUGUCCGGAAUUACUGGGUGUAAAGGGAGUGUAGGCGGGAAGGCAAGUCAGAAGUGAAAAUUAUGGGCUCAACCCAUAACCUGCUUUUGAAACUGUUUUUCUUGAGUGAAGCAGAGGCAAGCGGAAUUCCUAGUGUAGCGGUGAAAUGCGUAGAUAUUAGGAGGAACACCAGUGGCGAAGGCGGCUUGCUGGGCUUUUU